CACAGCGGGUCGGACAGUAUCCACGGGGCGGGGGAAGGAGCCGUCGACGUUUCGGGCCGAGACCUUCAUCAGGACUGGAAAGGAAGAGAGCAGGAGCCAGAAUAACAGGGGAUUUGCCAGUAGAGAUCUGCAAGUAUCAACAGGCAUGCAGUGCCCUACAGACAGUACAGGCAUACACACAGGAAUAAUUACUUUUUCCCACAGCCAAGAAAGGGCGAGAUGUCCAGUUCCCAGAGCAUUCCCUUCAAGUAGCUGAGGCUUUGAAGAUCAUGGUUAGUGCUGUGACGGGCAAAGAAGUUAAAAGCUUAGCUCAUGCCGCUGAGUAGGAGAACCUUGGAUCGAUGUGUCCACAGAUGAUUCACACCUUUCUUCAACUAAGAAAUGAGAAAAACAAUCCAUAAUUUCUGGUAUUUAUUACAAAACAUGCUUCCUCAAAGAUGGGUACAAUAGUGUGGUAAUUAUGUCUUCAUGUGACAACCUCUUCAUCCUAGGAGUAAAACCUGGUGAAACCUCUCUGAACUGCCUCCAAUGCAAGAAUAUACCUCCUUAGACAGGAACUAAAAUUCUAAGCAGUACUCCAGAUGUGGUCUCAUCAAUGUCCAAUAUACCUGCAGUAAUACUGUUACAUUUAUACUCCAUCCCCUGCAAUAAAGGACAGUAUUAAUUUGCAUUUCUGGUCGCUUCCUAUAUACAAAAUAUACUAGCAUGCAAAAUUAUCAUGUACAAGGACACUUAGAAUCCCAUGUUUAGCAAAAUUCUGUAGUCUUUUUUCAUGUAAGCAGUGUGCUUUUCUUCGUCCUAAUGUGGAGAACCUCAUAUUUCCCCAAAUUAUACAGGGUUUUUCAUUUUUUUCCCUGCUGUUCACCUAUAUCCUUUGGCUGACUCUUUGAAUCUUCCUUACAAUAUGCUUCCCCAUCAAAGUUGGAUAAAAUAGACUUGGUCCCUUCAUGUGUGUCACUGCUGCAAGAGGGUAGAAGUCAUGCUACAACUAUCCAAAAUCACACCUGGAGUUCUGUUAGCAUUUCUAAGAUCCAAAAUUUAGAAAUGACCAAUUAACCUUUGGAAGUAGUCUUGCAAAGGUUUACUGAAAUUCUAUCUGGGUAAAUUAUGAGAAAAGCAUUCAUAAACUAUAGUUGUAUUUCUAGAAUGUAGAAAAUCAGCCCAUUUUAAUAUAAGGGGGAGCUAAAAUGGCAGAUAAAGAGAAAUUACUUUCACUGUCUGGUGGAUUUGUAACUAUAAUCUAAAUAUUAGAGUUAGACCUUUCAGGAGUGAAAGUUGGAAUAGUUUCCACAAGCAAAGCACAGCAGGAGAUUAUAAAUGUUAAAUUUUACUCCAUCAACUCUUAAUGUUAAAGCUGAGAUUGAUAAAUUUCUGUAAACCAAAGUUAUUAAGGUGUGUGUGACAAAGGUGGGUAAACAUGAUUAGCUGACAUAUUGAGUGGUAGCAUAGGCUGAAAGCUAAAUGGGCCAGGACUGGUAAUCUAGAAAACAUGAGUUAAAAUUCCAUGAUAGGAUUUCAGAAUUUGACCUCAUUUCCCAAAACCAAUGAGAUUGACUUUCAUAUAUUAGAUUAUGAUGAAAUAUUCACUAAGAGUUGAAGCUUUACUACUGUAUGACUCUAAGUCCUUCAGGCAAGGAAGCUUGCAAUUCUUACCUAAUCUGCUCCCAAUAGUAUAUUAGUUUGCAUUGUAUUGACUCCACAGCAAUUAGGAAAGCACAAAGACUGCAGCACUCUUCACCAAUUCCUGCAUUUAGAGAAUUAACAAAUUAAAAAGAUAUUAAUUGCAUUCCUCUCUGGUUUGUAAGUCAGAUUUUUCAAAACCCCAAAUGACUUGCAACUCCAAUGACCAUCUCAAGAACAUUGCCUAACACCGCCCCUCCUCAAUUCCUAUAUCAGUUAUGAUCUUAUUCAUUCUCUUAUCACCUUACUUUCAAUGUAAACAUUUCUGAUGUUGAGGGAAGCUUAU